GUGGGGAAUCUUGCGCAAUGGGCGAAAGCCUGACGCAGCCAUGCCGCGUGAAUGAUGAAGGUCUUAGGAUUGUAAAAUUCUUUCACCGGGGACGAGAAUGACGGUACCCGGAGAAGAAGCUCCGGCUAACUUCGUGCCAGCAGCCGCGGUAAUACGAAGGGGGCUAGCGUUGCUCGGAAUUACUGGGCGUAAAGGGCGCGUAGGCGGACAGUUUAGUCAGAGGUGAAAGCCCAGGGCUCAACCUUGGAAUUGCCUUUGAUACUGGCUGUCUUGAGUACGGGAGAGGUGAGUGGAACUCCGAGUGUAGAGGUGAAAUUCGUAGAUAUUCGGAAGAACACCAGUGGCGAAGGCGACUCACUGGCCCGUUACUGACGCUGAGGCGCGAAAGCGUGGGGAGCAAACAGGAUUAGAAACCCCUGUAGUCC
rnacentral:rRNA from 1 species